rnacentral:rRNA from 1 species
UACGGAGGGGGCUAGCGUUGUCCGGAAUUAUUGGGCGUAAAGAGCUCGUAGGCGGUCUGUCGCGUCGAAUGUGAAAACCCGGGGCUCAACCCCGGGCCUGCAUUCGAUACGGGCAGACUAGAGUUCGGUAGGGGAGACUGGAAUUCCUGGUGUAGCGGUGAAAUGCGCAGAUAUCAGGAGGAACACCGGUGGCGAAGGCGGGUCUCUGGGCCGAUACUGACGCUGAGGAGCGAAAGCGUGGGGAGCGAACAGG